rnacentral:lncRNA from 1 species
ACACACACACACACACACACACACACACCCUCCCGACUGAAACCAUUCAGUGUUGCUCUUGUAUACAUAUGUAUAAGGAUGACCGCUUGGAAUUGGAUAACCUAUCAGGGGCUCAUCAUACAAAACUAUUUUCCCUCUUUCAGCUGCCACCAAUGGCCUGUCUUUCUUCAUCUUGGGGUAGAACAUGUAGAAUUCCUCCCAUCCACAUUGGCAAUCAGAGGGUGCUGUCACUAGGUAGGUCUUGUGUAGGCAGCCCUAUUGUUGAGAUUUCAUGGCUGCAGUAUCCCCACCGCCGACAUGUCAAGGACACACUCUCUUGCAUCCUGUUCCUGGCUCUUGGAAUCUUCCCACCCUGCUCUUCUGAGAUGUUCCCCUGAGCCUUCCACAUAGGACUUGCAUUAUUGUAAGUGUGUCAAUUGGAGCUAGGCAGUGCCUGGCCACUUCUUUACAUUUGACAGCUGUGGGUCUCGGUAAUAUUCCUCAUAUCCUGCAGGAAGCUUGUUGAUGAAGGAUGAGAGAGAUGACUACCUGAUUUUUGCAAUUACUUCUCAAAAGAAAAUCUUUUUAACGUAGUUAAACCAAAAUACAGAUGGCUUGUCCCCUCACCCCUGUUGGAUUGAAGAAGGCCUGGGGACCGAGAGACAGGAAUGUCUGAAUCCGUGUCCUCAGAGUAAAUGGGUGGCACAAGGUGACCAAAGAGGCAAGAACAGAGGGAGAGAGUGACGAGUGUGCCUGGGCUUCUGAGUCUCUGUCCCAUGAAGUAGGAGCAUCCUAGCUGCUGCUUGGAUCAAAGCAGUAUUGGCCUCCUGGGUAUGAGGAUGUCAUCGAACUCUGCCAUGCGGAACUGGCUUGCAAACAAGGGCAGGUAGAGUGGAGAUGGGUGUCUGGUGACCUGGGACAGAGAACAGGAAGGGUGGGUAGGCCUGGCGAUGCGACCAUCACUCUUGAGCAUCCUGGGAAUGAAAAGAUUGGGUACAAAAGAGGAGCAGAUCCUUUUCUGUGGGGAACAGAAGGGCUGAGGCGUUCAGAGUGUGGCACCACGAGGCAGCUGUCCCUGCCCUGAACACAGAAGGAACCAAGGCCACUCCUGUGUUUUUGGCUCCCAAAGACCUCACAUGCGUGUGCCAGGACUCCUGGUCACCACCGUCUUGGUGCUAAUCAGUGAGCUUGGUGCAGUGUGACUAUCUGGUUCUCUGGAAACAAGGUUUGUUUGUUUUUGUUUUUCUGCCCUGCCACUCAGCACAUUUGCGACCUUGAGCAAGUCACAUUUCUUUGUUUUUCCACUUUGAAUCAAGAAUUAUAAAACUUUCCCCACCUCCCGACAGUGGCAGAGAACAGUAGAUAAAACAGCGGGAGAAAGGAACAGCAGAGUGGCCAUGGCGGCUGGCCCCUGUCAGGAGCUGUUGCAUUUCAGCAACGCUCCCUGAGUGGAGCCUCCCAGUCCUUCCCUCUUCAUUUCCAGAGCCUGUCUUGUUUGUGCCUGUGGUGCCAGGAGUAGAACUCACAGCCUUUUUGAGUAAGUGCACAGUCACUCAUCUGCCUUCUCAGCCCCUUACAGUGUUACCCAUACAGAGUCACUGCUGCUUUCUUUAUUUGUUGGAGGUUGGAGGAGAGGAGGAAGGGGAGACAGGGUUUCUCUGUGUCGUGCUGGCUGUCCUGGAACUCGCUCAGUAGACCCGGGUAGCCUCGAACUCAGGGAUCGGACCGACCUGUCUCUCUCUUUCAAGAGUAUUUAAAGGCAUGUAUGUGCACCCCCGACCUGGCAUCCCUGCUACACUGCUGCUGCUGCUUCCAGCACUGCCUUGGGAAGUACAAGAGACAGGAGAGCACUGGGGACCUCUCCUCUCCCUCAGACACUCCAUCUUUGGUUUUGCUUGGGCAGCAAUUCUUCUCAUUAUUGGUUGUGUUUUCUUCCUUUGUUUUGCUUGUCUUCCC